rnacentral:sRNA from 1 species
AUAUCACUCUGUACGGGAAGGAUGAGAAGCUUCGACUAAGGUUCGAUUCGAGCGAAAGCGAGAAAGCGUUGCCGCAGGCAACGACCCGAAGGGCGAAACGCGCAGCGCUGAGUCAUCCUUCCCCCACCACCA